UCUUAGGUCUGCUGCUGCUGCUGGAGGGAACUUUGUCCUGACACACACACAUGCAGGAAACCCCACGCAAAUGCCCAGACGUGAUGUAAAAGUUUAAUGCCCUCAUCAGAAAUUGUCUGCAGGUUUCCAUGAGACGUGCUCCUCUGGGAAGAGGGGAAAAGAAAAAGUCUCCUUGAUCAGCUCGCCUACACUCCCUGAAAUUGAGAACGGAGUAAGUUUAGGAUUGCAUCUUGAAAGUGUGUCACACAAGAGGCGCUUAAUGAGGUGUCAAGUGUCUGGAGGAUGUCUGUAUAAUUCAUUUGUGUCGGUGAAGAGAAAAACAUGAUGAUGAUUAAACUCUCAGACGACACAACAAGUGACAAUCCACCUCCACUCUUGUUUCAGCCAUUUGCACAAUUAUCUACAUUUAACAUAGCAUACAUCAUUUCAAGAAA